rnacentral:rRNA from 1 species
CUACGGGGCGCUGCAGUGAGGAAUAUUGCACAAUGGGGGGAACCCUGAUGCAGCAACGCCGCGUGGAGGAUGACGCAUUUCGGUGUGUAAACUCCUUUUAUAUGUCAAGAAAAUGACGGUAGCAUAUGAAUAAGCGCCGGCUAACUCCGUGCCAGCAGCCGCGGUAAUACGGAGGGCGCAAGCGUUACUCGGAAUCACUGGGCGUAAAGGACGCGUAGGCGGGUUGAAAAGUCAGGUGUGAAAGCCUACAGCUUAACUGUAGAACUGCACUUGAAACUCUUAAUCUAGAGUAUGGGAGGGGCAGAUGGAAUUAGUGGUGUAGGGGUAAAAUCCGUAGAUAUCACUAGGAAUACCUAAAGCGAAGGCGAUCUGCUGGAACAUUACUGACGCUAAGGCGUGAAAGCGUGGGGAGCAAACAGGAUUAGAUACCCUGGUAGUC